UCGAAGGUAGCUCAGCGGUAGAGCAGGGGACUGUUAAUCCCUUGGUCGUGGGUUCGAUCCCCACCCUUCGAGCCA
rnacentral:tRNA from 1 species